ACUGGCUACCCGCAAAGCCACU
rnacentral:miRNA from 8 species